rnacentral:rRNA from 1 species
GAUGAACGCUGGCGGCGUGCUUAACACAUGCAAGUCGAACGGUGAACACGGAGCUUGCUCUGUGGGAUCAGUGGCGAACGGGUGAGUAACACGUGAGCAACCUGCCCCUGACUCUGGGAUAAGCGCUGGAAACGGCGUCUAAUACUGGAUAUGUGACGUGACCGCAUGGUCUGCGUUUGGAAAGAUUUUUCGGUUGGGGAUGGGCUCGCGGCCUAUCAGCUUGUUGGUGAGGUAAUGGCUCACCAAGGCGUCGACGGGUAGCCGGCCUGAGAGGGUGACCGGCCACACUGGGACUGAGACACGGCCCAGACUCCUACGGGAGGCAGCAGUGGGGAAUAUUGCACAAUGGGCGCAAGCCUGACGCAGCAACGCCGCGUGAGGGAUGACGGCCUUCGGGUUGUAAACCUCUUUUAGCAGGGAAGAAGCGAAAGUGACGGUACCUGCAGAAAAAGCGCCGGCUAACUACGUG